UACGGGGGGGGCAAGCGUUGUUCGGAAUUACUGGGCGUAAAGGGCGCGUAGGCGGCCUGCUAAGUCGGAUGUGAAAUCCCUCGGCUCAACCGAGGAACUGCAUCCGAUACUGGCGGGCUUGAAUCCGGGAGAGGGAUGUGGAAUUCCAGGUGUAGCGGUGAAAUGCGUAGAUAUCGAGAAGAACACCGGUGGCGAAGGCGGCCACCUGGACGGUGACUGACGCUGAGACGCGAAAGCGUGGGGAGCAAACAGG
rnacentral:rRNA from 1 species